CCAAGUAAAACACAAUUAUUCGCACUAGACCCGCGACGGAUCGUGCAGGGAAACGUCUCCGAAUUCCCAAGAAAAAACGAAAAGUACCUAAAUUCGCAAGUGAAGUGAGGUGCGCGAUAUUUGAUUACUCCAAUUUGAAAGGGAGCAACAUCGGCGAAAUUUAGUGGGAACAUUUUGUGUAACAGGGACGGAAAAGCGCGUGGUCUGUAGCGGAGAACAUUGGAAGCCUUUGAUUGGCACACCUAAGCACUGGCUUAAAGGGACACGGGAUCCAAGGUAUCGGCUAAUUCGUCGUCAAGAAAGCUUUGCGUGACACGGACGGUCGCCUCGAUUGUGAGACCCGGGCUGGAGGAAGUAGGUCACGAAGGAAAAUAUCGACGGGGCAAGGGACAACAUCGACGUCAGAAGGUCCUCAAACAGUGCCCGUGGUGACGAUCAGUGGUGAGCCGCCGCAGAGCGGCGAUCGAUACACACGCGAACCGAAUCCAGGUCACGAGACCACACGGCAUUAAACAGAAUUUUGAUUUCGGUGUUAUCAGCGAAAAGGAACCCCGUCGAAGGGUAAGUCCAUCGUGUUUAAGCUUACGGAUAGCAUUCCUAAAGGCACCAUCAUCUGCAGGGCUUCUUUGACAUAUCCUAACAUCGUGCCCGGAUACCAUAAGAAGAGCGGAGCGAAUCGCGACGACGGCCGGACCGCUUACUGGGACCGUUCUUAAAGUGCCUGCAGUGUGAAUCGGCGGCGAUCAGCUGUGCCUGCAGCGUUCAUCGGCGGCAACCCGCAGUGCCAGUAGGGUGAAUCGGUGCGCGACCAGCGGUGCCUACAGGGUAGAUCAACGUGUGAAUAGCGGCGCCCACGGUAGGAAUCGGCAUUGAAACGGCAAUUCUGGCCGGCUGGACGAGCAGUCGGUGGCUUUCACUCCAUUUGAACGGCGACACACGAUUAGCAGAUCGGUGGUCAGUCAACGCCACUGUUCCGUACGAAAAAAAAACUAGAUGAAACUUCUGCGAGCAGUGAAUUUGUCAACAACACGCUGAGCACUGAAAACGACCAAACCACCCAUCGCCACCCACCGAACGACUGCAACAUCAAAACAAAUUGCGAUGAUAGUUAGCAUCAGUCAUGUAUAUGACAGGAAACACUAUUGAUGGUGCUAACCAUCUGAAUGAACAUGGCCCGAAUGAAUGACAUUUACGUGAGUGAACGUGAGCUACUCUUCUCAGGCAGUGCAGCCAAAUCUUCUUGAAUAUUGCAGAUCUUUCUAUUUUUCGAACAUUCCAGAUAAUUCCAGCUCUUAAAAUUAAAGUAUAAAUAUCCUAGCUCGAUGCAUAACGAAUCAGUUAAUUUUCUACCGUCGCGAAUAUACCUCGUAGUGUGUAAAUUAAGUGAAUGUAAAAAUAAAGUAGUGAUUAAGUUAAAGUGAAA